rnacentral:rRNA from 1 species
UGCGUAGGCGGGCAGGUAAGUUUGUGGUGAAAUCUCCAAGCUUAACUUGGAAACUGCCGUGGAUACUAUUUGUCUUGAAUAUAGUGGAGGUGAGCGGAAUAUGUCAUGUAGCGGUGAAAUGCUUAGAUAUGACAUAGAACACCCAUUGCGAAGGCAGCUCGCUACACUAUUAUUGACGCUGAGGCACGAAAGCGUGGGGAUCAAACA